UGCACCGCCGUCGUACGAUCCUCCCGGUAUCCGGCGACGUCGUCGAUGAAACCGUUCUCAUCAUCGCCCUCGUGUUCAACCUCGUCGUCGUUGUUCAGCACCGCAUCAUGUCAAUUGACAUCGACGUUUGACAAUUUUCGAGGCCCCCGCGAUUCGCGAUAUUCGCGCGAUUUUGCAUCGCCGCUGCGAUUCCAUUCCGAUUUUCUCAUUGCACAUUUUUCAUUCUCGGAUAAAUUGGAUUCCUUUCGUUUCACCCUUUUCGAAUCAUGACUCAACAAGGAUAUCCGUGGCUCGAGAGUUUUUUAUUUAAUCCCAAUAAACAAUAACGAAUAUCGUUUAAACUGUAAAAUUCAGUUUGCCCGCGAUGCGGUCGAGUGCUCGAAAAUCGCGUCGCCCUUGUUCCUUGCAACGACGCAGCCCAUUCAACGACGACUCCAGCGGGGCGUACCGAGGCGCAAUUCAUUAUGCAGAAAUGCGAAGAACGCCUCGGCUAAAAUUUUUAAAACAUUUAAAACAUAAAUAUACUCGCACACGCGCGAGCAAAUACUCGUUUUGAAGAACUUUGUUCGAUAAGCACAUAUGACACAGCUGCAAUUUUCUCGAAAUAUGACUCGAUGAAUAUGGAAAGAAGAAACUCGAGGAAACAACGUGCCGCGGAAGAUCCUCGUGGGAGGCUGAACACCUCGAAAAAACAGAGAUCCAUACGCAAGAAUAACAAGUCCAGGAUUCUCUCGAUACCGUUCGACUUUGUCGCGAUUGAUGAAGUACGAGAGUUCAAGGGGGAGGAGGAAAGGCGAAUGGGCUUAAGAAAAAUAUCACUUCGGUCACAAACGGCACGAGGCGGGGGAGAGACAACGAUUAAGAAGGAGCCUUUCAUCACGCUUUCACAUUGUUGAAAAAGUAUUUGAAGGAAUCAAACGUCAAUUUAUUUUCACGUGUGUAAAACCGUAUGCGUUGAGAAUUAAUGAAUAAUAAUUUUGUAUGAGAAGAUUUUGAAAACUUUCAUCAAAUACGAACGAAUUCACGAAACGAGACGAAGAAAAACGUUCGAGCACGGUGAGUGGAGUUUUUGCAUAAUUUUUCCACAGCGUUUCACUACGAUUGCAUCCAAUCGAACAAUUUAUCGCCGUUGAACAAUCAGUUAAACCGAAACAUACAAUUUAGAGGCACACAAAAUCAUCGAAUUUCAAGAUUUCGUGGAUGAAUUAUUUAACAGAGACCGAUGGAAUCGAGAAAAAAGCUCCUCGACAUUCAGAUUUUUUACUCGAGCCGUUUUUUCGUGAGAGCAAUUUGAAAAAAAAACCCCCGGAAAUCGUAAAAAAAAACAUUUAAAAAGUCCAAACAAUUUUACAUGGAGACGUACGAAACUCGAACGAUCCCGUUGUCUUUACGUCAUUCGCCAUGCCUAAAAUUAAAACGAUUAAAAAUGAUACAACGAGAAGAAGUUAUGGACAAAGUGACACUCUGAAUAUUGUGAUUGAAAAAAGUUGUCAUGUAUAGUAUAUUUAUAUUAAAUUCGUUCCACAAAAUGCCGUCUACAAAAUGUGUAUUUACAAUCAUAAAUAAUUUUCCAUAUACUCAAGUACGCAUAUUUAUGUGUGGUAUAUGUGUAUUUUGUUGUGUAUAUCAACUUUGAAAAACGUUCGGUUACUCCGAAAAGUCGAUAACAUGUGAAUUUUGAUCGGUAUACUUGUAAAUGUGUGUGUGUGUUGUAUAUACGAGUUAAACGUAACGUAGUAAAAUAUAUAUUUCCUCGACUCGUCGAAACGUAACUCCAUUUCAUUUUCUUAGGAAUCAAUACUCGUUUAUUCUUUCGUGUGCACGGAAAAAUAAGUGUUUUUCUCAUUCGUGUUAUUCGUUUACGUUUAAUACGAAGUAAAAAAGAAAACUGAGGGCUCUGUGUGAGGAGCGUCGAAUAUUUGGCUCGUUCGGAGCAUGAUAUCGUUGAUUUUUAAUGGCACUUUGAGAUUCUAAGCGAAUGAAAACGAUCGAUUCGACUCGAUGUUUAUCGAUUAACUCCUUAAGCCUUAUUCUCGUUUCCUUUGCUUUUCCAUUAAAGCUCAAUCUGUUUUUUUUUUACGCAUCUAUUGAAGCUUCAAACACUUAGACAGUGCUUGUCCCUUUUAAAAAGGUGCUUUUAUUUCAUGGAUUGAAAAAUUUAUGCAUUUAUUUAUAUAAAUGAUGCACGCCAUGCAUUUGAAAGUUUAUCAAUAAUUUAAGUUUUUUCAGAAGGCAAGUCGAAGAUUCUAAAGAAUUUCUCGUACAAUACGCAUUCGAAAUUGCCACGAGUAAUCGUUACUGACAGAUUCAAGCAAUAGUCCUAUCGAUUAAGGUGUUAAUCCGGAUAGAGUUUCUACUGGAAAGAAAUUUUUCUUGAAUUCAUAAAUAAGUCGAUUAAAACUAUUUGAUAAAAUUACACAAUCAUUUUUCAAACAACGUAAUGUCGCCCAAUCGUGAUUAUUAUUUUCGAACCUUUUAUGAAACUAAAAUAUAGAUGUGCGACAAAACUUGCAGUAUUUUACUUUUGAUGGGUUUCCUUUGGCUGUCAUUCCAGGGGAAUCAGUUUCUAUAAAAAUUGCGUUGUCAACUGUUUCACAAAAAUUUUUAAUCUUCAGAAAUACUGUCAAAUUUUCGACGAAAUAUUUUCAAAUUCUCAAUCAUUUGAUAGAUGAACACGAGCGAAUAAUCAUAAUGAAAAGUGCGAUUUUUCUGAUAAUUUUAGAAAUUAUUUGGCUUUGAAGACUUGCAGCUCGAUACAGUAUAAACGUUUGUGCAACUAAAUGGCCGAUGUUUUUUUUUUUGCUUUUUUCGAAGCAACGAGCUAUAACUGAUGUAUGAAAACGAUUUUUAUCAAUCGUGCAUGUGAGUAUGAAAUUUUCAGAGGCAACUAUCGUUGAAUCGAUAAACGCUCAUUAAUGAGUUCUUGAAUUUUUGAAAUCGCACUGAUUCGUUUAAUUACUCACAGUUUCUUUUUAUUGUUAAAAUUUUUUUUUUCACUAAGCAUCGUCUCUUCACUAUAAAAAGUCAUUUCACUGAACUGUUGCAUAAUAAUUAAUGAAUUUUCAAAAAUUCAUCAAUCGGAUCAUUUUUGCUUGAGAUUCUUAAGCGCAAGGUGGUCCUUACAACAGAAGGAUUUUACCUUCGCGAUUGUUUUUCCUUCUUCUCUCUCCGUUUUUGCUUAACUCUACGUAUCAUAAGUACCGUGUGUAUAAUCUAUGAUUUGUUAAAAAAAAAAAACGUUUUGAAUG